AGACCAUAAUGAGGGCAUCGCCUAAGCAAGCCCUUGUAUCUUUCCCAAGCCUCGUACAAUGAUUCAGAAUCUAACUGCACGAAUGGUGUGAUAUCAUUCCUCAUUUU
rnacentral:snoRNA from 1 species